CUAGUACUAGUAGAUCAAUAUUCAACUUACGUUUUCAUUGUCAUAAUCCUUUGGAGUUUUAAAUAGCCCUAUGCAUUCUCAAAAUUAAAUCGCAAACCCACUUCAUACAUUCACAACCUCAUCUCUAUCUCUAUCUCUAUGGUGGGCCGGGUCGGGACUGGGACUAAACCGAGGUCUAGUCGAGGGAAUGCGGGCCAGAUCAUAAGCGGCGCAUCCACAUAUAAUAGUGCAUACAAAAGGAUGUCAUACGUAUAUAGCAAAGAGACAAGCUUCACUGUGGAAAAAUUGAAGAGUGGUACGUACAAAGUGAAGUCAACGGAAGUCCGGAGCUGUACCUUCUACGCCGUCGGCCACCGUUCCUCCGCAGCCGGCGCCACGACCAACGUCCGCCCUCGCCGACGUUAAAAAUUCUUGCUUUUUUUCAUGUCGUUUAUGCUUAAUUUCGAUUAAUCCCUGUUGGUUAAUCGAGAGGAGUUUGUAAGUGUUUAUUUUUAUGUAAUAAGAUGACUUCUAAUUAAGGACCUUCUCCUUAA